rnacentral:lncRNA from 1 species
AAGUUGGCAUUGUUCAGUUCAUAGCGCUGAGCCCAAGGGGAGGCUACUGGUAGUACCCUAGGCCAGUUUGUACGCAACUAUACCAGUCUGGGUUCAUAGGCCAAGGGAUAAGCGCUGAGGUAAUCCCUUGUUGAGCCAACCACACUAGUGUAGGGAACUGGGCAUAGCCAGAAUGGCUGGCUAAUCACCUGGUAGUGCUAUGCAUGAAGGUAUAAUGUUCAGACUUUAGCCUCUUUAUAUUAUGUUUUUUACAUAUGAUUCAUAGACUAAGAAUACUACAACAUGGUCUGAAAAGCCUGUCUGAAGUCAUUAGGAAGACUGUCUGGUAUACCCAUCUUUUGUUCAUUUGAGCUGAAGUCAUUGGGAAGACCGUGUUGCCUGUUUGCCCGUUGAUCCCGGGAUGGUGAGUAGGGUGUUAGGGUGUUUUGGUCGAUUUCGAGAUGGAUUCAUGAUAAAAGCUCAAUAAGAACAAGAUUGAAGGAAAACUGGAAAUGGUCGAAUCCGAGAUGGACUUGAUGAUUAAGUUUUAAAUAGUAUAAGAAAUAAUCAGAUUGAUAGAUCUAGACUGUACCCGAGAUGGAAAUAGUGUUCUAAGUCUUAGAAUCAUAAGUAAAUGAUCAUAACAUGAAUGGAUUAAAAUCCAUAACAUUAUAAAGUCAUGCAUAGAUACUAUCAUUUAGCCGAUUAUGGAGAAUACUUCCAUAAGCCCAGGUUCCACUAAUAUUAAAAAUUUUAAUCAUAUUCAGAAUAAGGAGGAAUAUUACGGAGAAUUCUGAAUACAGAAUUCCAAUCUAAAGAAAAUAAAGAAUUUAGAAGUUGGUACUUCAAUAGUUUUAAUGCAACUGAGUUAGAAUAUUAUAAAACUCAGUAUUAUAUGGAAUAGAAGCCAAACAGAACAUAGAAUAUUUUGUUCCCUGGUUUAUUAAAUUCCAUAAAGAAGAACAAAAAGCAAAAUUAAUGCUAGAAUCUUUUCCAAAGGAAGAAGAAAUAGAAGUAGAAAAUAAUUCUAUAAAGGGUUUUAAAUUACAAAACUCUUACUCUGAAACUAUAGAAAGUUUUGGGAUUAAUCCGGAUAAUAGAUCAAGAAAAGAAGAAUUAAUUAAAGUAAUUCUGAAUAAUAACUUAGAAUCAGAAAAU